GAAGUACUCCCUCCGUUCCAUAAUUCUUGUCGAAGUAUUACAUGUAUCUAGACAUUUUUUAAGAAUAGAUACAUUCAUUUUGGGAUAAAUUUAAGACAAGAAUUACGAAACGGAGGUAGUACUCA
rfam:Brachypodium distachyon strain Bd21 chromosome 4, whole genome shotgun sequence.